CCUACUUUGUUCCUCCUUGGGGCAUCUUGCACAAUGGGCGAAAGCCUGAUGCAGCAACGCCGCGUGAGUGACGAAGGCCUUCGGAUCGUAAAGCUCUGUUCUCAGGGAAGAAAAUGACGGUACUUGAGGAGGAAGCACCGGCCAACUACGUGCCAGCAGCCGCGGUCAUACGUAGGGGGCUAGGGUUAUCCGGAUUUACUGGGCGUAAAGGGAGCACAGGUGGUUUUUUAAGUCAGAGGUAAAAGUCUACGGCUAAACCCGAGUGAGCCUUGGAAACCGGGGAACUUGAGUGCAGGAGAGGAGGGUGGAAUUCCUGGUGUAGCGGUGAAAUGCGUAGAUAUUAGGAAGAACACCGGUUGCGAAGGCGGCUCUCUGGUCUGUAACUGACGCUGAGGCACGAAAGCGUGGGGAGCAAACAGGAUUAGAUACCCGGGUAGUC
rnacentral:rRNA from 1 species